rnacentral:sRNA from 1 species
ACCAGGUGUGGUGGCCAUGCCUGUAAUCCCAGCUACUCAGGAGGUUAGACAGGAGGAUUACAAGUUCAAUGCCAGCAUGGGCAAAUUAACAAGAUCCUGUCUC